rnacentral:rRNA from 1 species
GAUGAACGCUGGCGGCGUGCCUAAUACAUGCAAGUCGAGCGAACAGACGAGGAGCUUGCUCCUCUGACGUUAGCGGCGGACGGGUGAGUAACACGUGGAUAACCUACCUAUAAGACUGGGAUAACUUCGGGAAACCGGAGCUAAUACCGGAUAAUAUAUUGAACCGCAUGGUUCAAUAGUGAAAGACGGUUUUGCUGUCACUUAUAGAUGGAUCCGCGCCGCAUUAGCUAGUUGGUAAGGUAACGGCUUACCAAGGCAACGAUGCGUAGCCGACCUGAGAGGGUGAUCGGCCAACCGGGAACGGAGAACGGGGCCAAACUCCUAGGGGAGGCAGCAGUAGGGAAUCUUCCGGAAGGGGCGAAAGCUUGACGGGGCAACGCCGCGUGAGGGAUGAAGGUUUUCGGAUCGUAAAACUCUGUUAUUAGGGAAGAAAAAAUGGUAAAGUAAUUAUGCACGUUUUGACGGUACCUAAGCAAAAAGCCACGGCUAACUACGU